GCGUGCCCGCCUGGAGCGAGCACGCACACGUUUGGAGAGCACGCUCUGCUGGAGAGCGCGCGUGCACGGCUGAACCGGCCCCGAGUCAGGCACCUGGACACAGGUGACAGCAGGCCCCGACGUGUCGGUGCUGGUGGGACUGCACUUCCCGUUCCGGCUGCACUUUUCAGAAGCACGUGGACAGAAGAGCGGUUCCAAACAGGCAGAUACCUCGUCACUUGAUUUCCGGAGUCUCGGUAAGGCGGCGGAAGUUUGCCGGGGAGUGAGCAUUUUGGACGUUCGGGCUGCGCUCAGGAGCCACAGACUGGGUGACGUGGGAACAACGACGUCCACUUCCUCGGUCCCGCAGGCUCGGUGUCCGAGGUCACGGCUCCAGAAGAUUCGGGGAACCCGCUCUGGUUCCCAGAUGCCGACUUCUCGCCGUGUCCUCACGUGGUGCAGGGCCAGGGGCCGGCAGGGGUCUCUGCUGCAGGGCACCACUCCCCCAUCACGCAGGCGCCACCCUCCUGCCUUCAUCACCCGCACAGCCACGCUGGGGGGCGGGUUCAACACGUGAACUUGUGAGGACACAACUGUUUUUAGUCCAGAGCAGUAGGACAAACAUCAGUUUGACUGAGUUUGUGUGUCCAAAACAGAAUUUGGCCGGGAGAAAGGAUAUAUAUUUUAUUGGUACCUAACAGUAAGUUUACUUGAGAUGAGAAUCUUCAAUAAUAUGUGUUUAUCCCAAGAAAAUCUUUUCACCAGUAAUAAACUUUUCCUUUGAAACCGGAAUUCAAGGUAAAUGCGAAACACAAAGAACAUGCACAGUGUUUCCUCCAGGUAAACCAGAGUUCCUGUUUGCCCUCAGGUGGGCUCUCUGGUUACCGUAUAUUGUGACUCCUACGCAGAAGUAGAGUCGUAUCCCCAUAGGUUUGGGGGGGGUUAGAUUUCGGGAGCCCUGCAGGUAAGUGGGGACCACCGCCCAUCAUGGUUCGUGAAAAGCCUUUUUAGAAAUCGGCUUCGAGCCGAUCUGGGGAUUUCUGUGCAAAGCCCUCUCUCACCGACGCUCGGCGGCAGAGAUGAGAGAGGUUCGCCAGCGGCCUUAUGAAAUGUCAUGUGACCUUCUUCCUUUAGGAGUUAGGGAUUUUCUGUGCCUUCAUAAGAGCUCAGAGUGAGCCUAGACGCAUUUAAAAAAUGCAAGGUCGGGCCAUGGGCCUGGGCCACGGCUCUGCCUUAUUGGCUUCAGAUCCGACAUCCUCAGAACUGAUGAAAUUAUUGCCAGCUUAGCCCCCAGAGCCUUGAUCCCACCCUAAAGGAAACGUUCAAGAAGUGACUCAACCGUGGAAGUGCCCGGAAUGUGCAGCCAGACCCACAGUUGAGCACUUCAGGGUGAUUGCUGGUGUUCGCUUACGUAUAUUUUAUUCAGAGAAUGAUUCAGUCACUCUUGACUCAUUCCCUCUAAUUUCAAACUCAGGGUGUAAAUAAUUUGACUGGUUGUCUCUAUUUUUUUAUUAUUAUUAAUAAGCAUCUUUAAGUUGUUCGAGAGCACAGGGAACCGGGUGGCUCAGUCGGUUGAGUGUCUGUCUCCUGAUUUCAGUUCAGGUCAUGAUCUCAUUGUUUGUGAGUUCAAACCCCAUGUCGGGCUCUGAGCUGACAGCACAGAGCCUGCUUGGGAUUCUCUCUCUCUCCCUCUUUCUCUGUCUCUCCCUCUCUCUAAAUAAAUAAAUGUGUAAAAAAAAAAGUUAUUUGAAAGCAAGAGUCAGCAGCCACAACCCGUGGGCCACAUCGGAUCCGUGGACAGUUUUUGUAAAUGUGGCUUCAUUAGAACAUGGCUGCGUUCGUUCAUCUGGACCUUGGUAACCCGGCACCAUCAGCUGCGGCCUCAAACGUGUUCUUAUUCUGCCUUCCAGCCGUAGCAUUCAGAAAACAUUCCCUGGGCAUUUGCCGUGUACAGACAUGCUAGGGGCCGGGGACACACAGGUGCCUGGAAUGUGGCACCCCCCCGCAUCUGUGGGGAGGAUGAGUGUCCGCUCGUUACUCCCAGCAUGCUCGCACCUCCCACUCCAGGCAGAAGGCCCCGGUAGCCCAGAGAGGCUGUUCCGCGCUGGGCCCCGCAGGAUGUGGGGGUGGGCAGGGGAGCCGGCAGGUACGGUGUCCCCAGUGGAGCACGCCAGGAAAGCAGAGAUCUUCGGGGGGGCAAGAUGCGUGGACGGGGCUUCGGGCGGCUCAGUCUCGGGCUACAAAUCCCAGACAGGCGGGGAGGCCAGGGAGGGGCCCAGGAGUCAGGGGGUAAGUGCGGGGACUGCUGGGCUUCCUUGGGUGUCGUGUUGUCGUCAGCCCCCUCGUUCAUCCAUCGGGCCGUUCAGCACAGAUUUGACCACUUUCUAGGCUCGAGAGUCUGAGAGCUAGAACUCACAUAACAAAGCCCUUGCCGUCCAGCCGCGGACACGUGGGGAGAGCAGGGCAGGGGGCCUCGGAGCACAGAGUGGCCGGCUGGCUCUUCCCGCGGAAGGGGACUUCCUAAAUCUCCCCGAGCCUCACGCGUCCCAGGGAGAGUAACUCCCCCUCUGAGAUGUGACCUGCCCGGGAAGUGACAAGUAGGUGGGAAUGUGCAGAAGUACAUGUGACAGAAAGACAGACGUGUGAAACUCUGGGCACCCCGGGGGUGGCUCGUGAACCUCUGCUUGCCAGGAGGGUGAAGAACACCUCUGUGUGAAUCAGAAGUUUCUGGAAGAGCUGAGGGCCUUACACCCCUUGGACAGGUAGAGGCUGAGUAGACGGUGCCUAGGCGGCUGGAGGAUUUCUGGGGAAUUUAAGUGGGAGUCGUCCUCGUCUUUGAGGGCAGCACACUGAGAUCCGAGCGCCCCGGGCAUGACUCAGCACAGACACUUGGCGCUGAUUCUGGAAAUCCAAAGUGCCUGGGGUAAGCGACAUAAACCAGGGGUAUUGGAUUUUGUUCAGAGUGAAGGCCAGGAGGUUAAACAGGCUCAGUGAGGGGGACUCUCAGGUGUGACCCCAGCCCCGUCCUGGGUGCGGCAUCCACCUGUGGCUUGGCCAGGGCACACCGAUUCCUGCACCCGCCCUCCAGCAACCGCGUGGGACAAGAGACAAAUCUGAGCCAGAAAAGAGGGAUUUAGGGAACACCCCAGAUGCUGUCCUUGGCGGCUGUGACACCCUGGCUGGCGCUCUCUGCCGGCCUUAGCCACCAUGGCAAUCGUGAGGGGGCAGGGGAAGCCCCGUCUGCUAUAUCUUCCCUUUGGUGCUUUUUCCGCUUCCAGGCUUCCUCCCCCCAGCAGCCCGCACCUGCCUGCGCCUGCUGCGCCUGAGCCCACAGAUCUUGUUUUUAUUUCCACGGGAGCUCCUAAAGAUGCCUGUUAAUAUUGCAACUUUCUGGUCAAGAAGCUCACGUCUGAUAAAGAGUCUUUGGGCCACGGUCUCUUAAGUCAGCCUAAGGGAGUAACUCUAAAAGUGGAGAUACCAGGCUUCAUAGAAGUCUCAUCAGGGGCACCGUGAGGGCCGCCUCACGCUCGCUGAACCUCAGAUGCUAUGUCUUGAAGAACAGAGUCGUGGGAGUCGAGAGUUGAAUCAACAGCCUGGGCUCAUAGUUUGUUGACAAAUUGAUUCUGUAGAGACAUCCAAUGUGAAUUCGCGAAAGGUCAAGGAAAAAUCUGUUUGUUUUUCCAUUUAUUUGUGAACACUCAAAAGUAAUUUUUCCAAGGGAGGAAAGCCUGAUCUGUUCCAUGACUUCCUCAAGGGCGCCUCGUCUCACCUGAGACAAGAAUAAAUGGCCGUGUUGGUCAUCACGCAGUGCCGUGACACUGUAUCUGUUCAUCCUUACGGUCACAGAGCUCACAAAGGAUUCCUGCCUGUGCACCUGAGCACAGCAUCAAAGGAAAAUAGUCGAUUCUUCCAGUUUUAUUCCAUGCAAGUUUCAGGGUUUACCCCAGAACUCCAGUCCCACAGCCAGAGUCCCAGCUGCACCAGGACAUACCGACUCCUCCUCACAGAGUACACGGUUCCAUCUGGGAGGCAGAUCGCACUGGAAAGAAAGCGUAAUGUAUCUAGACAGAUAACUUUUUUGGUAAUUUGGUUAUUUUGUGUAAAAGCCUGAAGUCUACCUUUUAUAUACACUAAUAAAAUUUUACAGCGUACUAACGUCUUCAAGCAAGACAUGUCAGCCCACAGAGGCCGACAUCAUGGCACCCUACAAGGUGAGCAAAGGCUCUGAUUUGGAAAAUCACAUCCUUGUCUGAGCUCCGGACGUGGGUUACGGUGUGUGCCUUAAAACCAUGCAGAGUUUGAGCCCAUGUUGCAGGGUUAACGAGCUGCACAGCCUGGAGCAGAUGACCUCUCUACACCCCGGUGUCCUCGCUUAGGAGGUGGGAGAAACCACAGCUCGGGCCUGUCUGUUCCAGAGCCCGAGAGCCAGGGCACAGGGCUUGGUGCUGAUGGGAGUCCCGCAUACGCCCACCACGUCACCUGCAGGUGGUGGCUGGAGGUGCCAGACCUGAGCAGCUGCAGCCACGAGACACCUUGAACCCAAACCCGGAGGUUAAGCCGCAUCAGCCUGGACCACAGGUUUGCUCUGGGCACGGCUCUUCAGAUCAGACACCAAGGCUGGAGGGAGGUUGGCCUGUCUGGACAGUGAGCCGCGUGCAGAAAUGGGUCUUCUCCCAAACUGGACCUGAUAAAUGCCUGACAAGACCUUGAAGAAAAGUGUCAGAGAUGUGAGGGUCCCAUAAUAAUUUAGUGAGUGUGGAGCGUGUGCGCUCGGGUGAAGCUGGAAGGCCACAAGGGGCAAGUCCGCGGCAACCACACCGUUAGAGGGUUGACUGGCACACACGCUGAGCAUAGCUCCCCAUCACAGGCGGCCUGUUUAGUGUCGACAUGCUCUGUGAAGCAGCCCAAAUUUGGAGAAAUCUAUGCUUACUCACCCCAGGCCUUCCCUGUAAAACACUCUCAGCGCCCGUCCUGACAGGUGUGGGAAGCAGCCCAGAAACUCAUUUCCAGAGCCUCCCACCAGGAGUGCCUUGGACCAACCCCCAGAGUUGUUAUCUUUUCUCGCUCAGCGUCAGUAAUAUGCCAGCAGAAAGGUCAAUGACCUCUGUCUGAGAGGUUUUCUUAGAAGAAACAGAAUGUUCUGGAACACAGUGACGACAUGGAAAAAAGAGUGUGUGUGUGCCACUUGGCAGGUGGAUGUAAGCCAACCCGAGGGGGGCAUGGGGCACUUGGCAUCAGUGAGCCUGUGAGUGGCUCUCAUGAUGGAAGGUUCCGGAAGCUUCCAGCACAUCCGAUAGAGUGGGUGGAUUCAGGAGGGGCUGGCGCCUGGGUGUCCCUUAGGGGCCUGCUGUAAGCCACUCCACGGGAAUAUCGUCACCCUGGCCAAAGGGCUGCCCCCAACCCAGGAAGAAAGACAUUCUUCAAACCGAUACAGGCCCAGUGAUGCUUCCGAGAAGUUUCCCUUGUGAUUUACCACAACCGUGAAGCUUGUGCAGCGCAGGUACCACUGGCAGAAAGCAGUGGCCACACAUUCCAGCCGGGAAGCCUGCACCUGACUCGUGGGGGAGGCCGCCCACGCCCAGCUCAGGUGAGGCCAGGACAGCCUGGGGCGGGCUGACUGGGCGGGGGCCUCUAGGUGGUGAGGCAGCACAGAAGCGCAGUGAGGACGGAGAGCAGGAAGCAGAGACCACCGAUCCUGGAGUUUGUAAUCGUAGCAAAAUACACAAAACACGAACUUUACUGUCUUGACCCCUUUGAGCCUGUGGCUGGCACCGUCUGCUUUCAGUUCAUGCUGCUGCACGGCCAUCGCCACCCUCACCGCCAGGCCGGUCCGUCACCUCUGCUGGACGGCGUCUGCCAAGCGAGCCACCCAGGAGCCCCUCAAAUGCAAGCUACUUUGAAAUAAGACUUGCCCUACGUUGAAGACCCAACACCGACUAGGUCCCAACUAGUGGCAGUAACUUAACGUAUUCCUGAGACUCAGCAUUCCCAUCUGAAAAAGGAAAUGGUGGCACGUGCCCUGUAAAGAUGUCAUAAGGACUUCCACACAGGACCACACAUGGACCACACAGGUGCCAUGUGUCCUCAGUGUGCCAUGUGUCCUCAGUCCUCAGUGUCUGUUGAUAAUUACUGUUCAUGUCUGGGCACCUUAUCACAGAGGAACCCCACUGCCCCCAUAUCUUGUGCAGUAUGUUGUCCUGUAAAUUCUCUUAACGGGGGGGUUGUUAUUGCUUCCUGAGCGAGUUACCCCAUUUUGCCACAGGGAAGCAGAUGGCUGCACCACAGGGCUCACUGGGGCGCCCUCCCUGCUGGACACACAGCCCUUCAGUCCUUCAGGAUGGCCUGGGCCCUCAGCGUUGUGUCCUACGCUUCUCACACCUAGAAAACUAAUUUUUGAAAUAUGAUCAAAACUCGGCAGGGAGACUCCUGAGUUACAGAGGACACGCGAUGCUGUAACGGGCUAUUACGUAACGACCAGAAAUAUCUGUGAUUCAAGUCUGCACAUGUCUCAGGGAAAGAACUUCUCUGUCACAAUGUGUGAAAUCACCAAGCAGAGCAAGCGAGAAAGCAAACUGCACAUUUGUGGAGCCGACGCGAGCUUUUAUUGUAGGUGUGAACUUACUCUCGAUUUUUAGCAAGAAUCAAAGAUUCCACGUUAUCUUCUUCGUGUCUUGGCAAGUCAAUCAGUAACGACUGAGGCUACAGAAGAUCUUUUCAAACUCCCUUUUAUCUUUUACAGAAAUAUAGAUUGUUUUCUAACACGUAA